rnacentral:sRNA from 1 species
AAGAACCAAGUGAGAGCACUGCAGUGCCCGCGGUCCUUACCUCCUGCCAGAGCAGCGCCGCAGAGGCACAAACACUCCUGGCGGGGUGGCUGCCUGGGGAGGGGUGAGCUUCCCGACGGAGGCCCCAGCCAUCCUGGAGGAGGGUGCUGGGCAGACACCGGCCCCUCUAACCGUAGCUCAGCCACACUGCCCAUCACCUUCAAGUGCCUGCUGGAGAACAACCACAUCGACCGGCGCAUCGCUCGCUUCGUGCUGCCCGUGGGUGCCACCAUCAAUAUGGACGGCACUGCGCUCUACGAGGCUGUGGCCGCCAUCUUCAUCGCCCAGGUCAACAACUACGAGCUGGACUUUGGCCAGAUCAUCACCAUCAGGUGCACCCUGACACUGCACCUGUGUGGAUGGGGCGGUGGCUGGGGGCCUUGGGGAUUCCCAGGCUCCCAGACUUGAGGGGUAUCUGAGGCGAGCGAGCCUGGGCUCGGAGCACAGCAGGCAGAGGGCCAGGGCUGAGAGCUCCAAGCCUGGAGGACAGCCCGGGAGGGAGGGCAUUGCUGGUGGGCACAGGGCGAGCGGAGGCCAGGGACAGGACUCAGGACCCUGGAGAGGCCGCCAUUGCGGCAGGAGCCAAGGAAGGGGUGCUGGGAUGCAGCUGAGGCUGACGGCGGCCUCACAGGCCAGCCAAGCACACAGGUCUGACCCUGGAGGCCAGGCCCCAGAGGGAGGCAGGCAGAGCCAUGUGGUGGUCAAUCAGAGUCCCUGGGUAGCCCCAUAGCAAUAUAGCUUCCUGGAACCCACAGAGGCACAGCUCCAGACACAGGUGUUUGCACAUUUCCCAGGGGUUCUCCUGAGGCCAGGAAUGGGGGUCCAUGGGGCUGCGGGACUGUGAGGAGGGACUCGACCCCGAGAGCUCCCUGGUGUGGCAUUCCUACCCACCCCCCACACCAAAUGGCUGUCCCAGAGGCCCUGACACUCAACCUCUUCCUUGGAGCCAGACCCUGACAAUGCACCCUGCCCCUCCUGCUGCUCCUCUUCCCCUUCCCACCCCCUGCAGUAUCACAGCCACUGCAGCCAGCAUUGGGGCAGCUGGCAUCCCCCAGGCCGGACUCGUCACCAUGGUCAUCGUGCUCACCUCCGUGGGACUGCCCACCGAUGACAUCACCCUCAUCAUUGCCGUUGACUGGGCUCUGGACCGUUUCCGCACCAUGAUUAAUGUGCUGGGUGAUGCGCUGGCAGCGGGGAUCAUGGCCCAUAUAUGUCGGAAGGAUUUUGCCCGGGACACAGGCACCGAGAAACUGCUGCCCUGCGAGACCAAGCCAGUGAGCCUCCAGGAGAUCGUGGCAGCCCAGCAGAAUGGCUGUGUGAAGAGUGUAGCCGAGGCCUCCGAGCUCACCCUGGGCCCCACCUGCCCCCACCACGUCCCCGUUCAAGUGGAGCAGGAUGAGGAGCUGCCCGCUGCGAGUCUGAACCACUGCACCAUCCAGAUCAGUGAGCUGGAGACCAAUGUCUGAGCCUGCGGAGCUGCAGGGGCAGGUGAGGCCUCCAGGGGCAGGGUCCUGAGGCAGGAACUCGACUCUCCAACCCUCCUGAGCAGCCGGCAGGGGCCAGGAUCACACAUUCUUCUCACCCUUGAGAGGCUGGAAUUAACCCCGCUUGAUGGAAAAUGUAUCUCAGAGAAGGGAAAGGCUGCAUGGGGGAGCCCCAUCCAGGGAGUGAUGGGCCCGGCAUUGCCUGAGGCCCCGCUGUGACAGUUUCCCCGGUGUGAGCCCGGUGAGGGCGGCAGGCAGGGGUUAUCUGGCCCCACUUUCUGGAUGACAGACUUGAGGCUCUGAGAGCUGAAAACACUUGUCCAAGGUCUCACGUUAAGGUCAAGACACUAACUCAAAUCUUUCAAGCCCCGCCUCUCCUCUUGGAGGACAGGGCAGCCUGCAGCUGUGUCCAGGCCCAGGCCCCACCCCAUAACAGGUGGCCUCAGCCACACAGUUCUCCCCAAGGGGAGCAGCCCAGGGCCAAGCCCCGCUGCCUUCCCCAGGCCACAGUGCGUCCAGUGUCCUGUCCUGCCACGUGUCUCUUGCAAAGCUCCUUGGAUGUGGACACAGAUGUCUUUACUAGAGCUGAAAGGCCCCCUCGACACAUCCAGGCCAACCUCCCAUGGAAUAGGUAGGCAAGCCAGGACUCCGGGAAGGAGGUGCAGCCAGGAUGCUCUGGUGGAGCUGCCGAUGGGGCCCUGGUGUCAGAACUCCCCAAAGGCCUGUGCGUCCAAGUGGAGUCAGGUUUUCUAUUCCUUUCUGUGUUUGCAAAUUCAGUGUUAACUAAAUAAAGGUAUUUUGUUUUUC